UACGAAGGGGGCUAGCGUUGUUCGGAAUUACUGGGCGUAAAGCGCACGUAGGCGGAUUGUUAAGUGAGGGGUGAAAUCCCAGGGCUCAACCCUGGAACUGCCUUUCAUACUGGCAAUCUCGAGUCCGAGAGAGGUGAGUGGAAUUCCGAGUGUAGAGGUGAAAUUCGUAGAUAUUCGGAGGAACACCAGUGGCGAAGGCGGCUCACUGGCUCGGUACUG
rnacentral:rRNA from 1 species